GCAAUUAAGCUCCCUCCUGGGAGACUCUAGACCUGGAGACUGUCAGUGCACAGAGAUGAUCAACUGCAUUUGUCUCCCUCAUGCCAGAAAAAUGGAACACUCCAGAGUUCAUCGAGGACUUAUGCUAUAUUUCAAUGAGCUGAAAGCUCCAAAUGUCUGCCUGAUGUGACUCCCGCCCACCUGAAGGGAAUGGUCAGUGAUGCUGAACCAGUGACGUCCUCGCUGAUACUCAAAGUGCUGACACAUCCAUGCUGUCAUCUCCUGACAGAGCUCUGAGUUGGAUGUGGCAGACAGCAUAAUCCCCAUGAGACCCCAGAGCUCAGAGAGAUGAGGGGACUUGCCCAAGGUCACAGGAGUGUUUGUUUCUCUACAAGGCCAGGUCAUUGAAGGUAUCACCUGGAAACUAAACAGCUUGCUCUCAGUUCCUUAUCCCAGUCUCUGCUUUUGGAAGAACCCAAGCUAAGAUCCAUGGCAGGCAUUAGGAGGGACUGAAUAAAUGGAUGAAGAAAAACUGAUGAUAUUAUAAUGAGAGGAGUGAAGGACACUGUCAAAGGUGGACAAAUGACCAUCUGCUGUGUAUGAAGAAAGACCCUAUUACCUACCUCAUUAUUCAUUCACAGUGAAGGACCAUAGCUUUCCAGUGUGCACACCAACAUGUUGGUUGAACUGACUACCUUAGAAAUACUGGGCCUAAGAGUACUGUGGGUAUGACUAAUAAUCGUUUCCCUAGAAUGGACACUUCCAUUUGGUAGGGACUUUAUUUGCAUCAUGUCAUUUAUUCUUCACAAACCUCCUGUGACCCAGGAACUAAUUAAUCCCAUUUUAUAAGUGAGGAAACUGAGGUUUAUAGAGGUGACUCAAGAUCACAUGGCGGCACAACUGAAUCUCAGCUGGGUCUGUCAGGUAGCAGGGUCCAUACUCCUGUGUCCAUCUAUCUACCUGAGCCUGUUACAGCAUCCAGGCUGGGGCCUCACUCUCCAGCUGCUUGGCAAGCAAU